rnacentral:rRNA from 1 species
AUGGUUUUGAAGAACACCGAUGCAACCGCCCAUGCCGAAGUAACUGCAAUAAGAGAGGCUUGUAAGAAGCUUGGGAAGAUCGACCUGUCGGAUUGCGAAAUGUAUGCAUCCUGCGAACCUUGUUCGAUGUGUUUCGGCGCUGUUCGUCUAUCCCGGAUCAAGAGGCUGGUGUAUGGAGCCACGGCAGAAGCUGCUAUUGCCAUGGGAAGCUGCUACCAGAAUGCCAACCUGGAGAUAAAGCGAGCAGAUGGGAAUGGAGCCCUGCUUGCUGAACAAGUCUUUCAGAACACCAAGGGGAAAUUUCCAAUGUACUAA